AAAAAAGAGACAUUUUAAUUGGAUAAUAAAGUCAUACGAGGGACGAGUAAGGCCCCAAAGCAAUACAUUCUUGGCCAGUCAUGGACUGUUCAAGACACUGACUCAGAGCUCUGGGCCAAACCUCUGUCUUGAAUAUAUUUUAAUUAAGAUAUAAUGAAAUAUAUUUAAUUAAAAUGAAAAUGAAAAUUUAAACAUUUUUUAAAAAUUUAUUUUUAAAAACAUUUUUGUCUUUUUUUAGGGCCGCACCUAUGGCAUAUGGAGGUUCCCAGGUGCAGCCCUAAAAAGAAAAAAAAGGAAAAAAAAAAAGAAAAAGAGGGGUCUUGCAGAGACCACUGAUGAUGUGCCUUGAAUGGAAGAGGUUUCAUGAUAGAACUCAGAAGAAAAAGACACUGGGGUUCCCAUCGUGGCUCAGCGAGUUAAGAACCUGACCAGUAUCUGUGAGGAUAUGGGCUUGAUCCCUGGCCUCUCUUAGGGGGUUAGGGAUCUGGCAUCGACAUAGCUGCAGUGUAGGUCACAGAUGUGGCUCUGAUCUGGCGUUGCUGUGGCCGUGGCGUAGGCCAGCAGCUGAAGCUCUGAUUCGACUCCUAGCCUGGGCCCUUCCAUAUGCUGCAGGUGCAGCCCUAAGAAGAAAAAAAAAGUCCAGCAUCCACUGAGAAUGUGUUUCCAUACAAAGUCUGCGCACACCUGAAGGACGAAGAGGGAGCACGCAGGCGUGGGAAGGAGAGCUGCAGUGUGGUGGAUGACAGCCUCAGGGCUCCGAAUACUCUUCACAAUUCUUCUUAACCUCCUUAGUAGCCCCUGGCCACCCUCGACUCUAUCGAUCCAGCCCUCAGGCGUCUAUGCAGACUGGGGCGUCCACUGCGCACUUCUCUGCCCUCUGUCUGGCGAAUUCCCACACUUCGUUACAACUCAGCUUAAACACUGCCCCCCCACCUCACCCCCCGGCAGGAGGCAUCCCCCUGCCUCCCAGAGCUGAUUCACUGCCUCUUCUUAUCUUUCCCAGACAACCAGUGAUGGCUCGAGCUGAGCCGCUUCAACACUAGUCUCUUCUUAGAAGCACAGCCUUUCAGGGAGUGGAGAGAAACACUGGGGCCGUGCCAGCCAAGGGAGGAAAUGUCUGGCCUGGGAGACGGGAGAGCUGGGGUGGACUGGACAGUGAAGGGGGUGAGGCCCCUGGGUGAUUUUUGCCUUGGCUUUCCCUUUCAAUUCCCUAGCCCAGCCCUGCCAAGCCAACCAAUUCUGUCAAAUCUUAUUUCUCAGGUGCCUGUGAUCCCAAGACACCGUGGUGCGGGAUUGCAACGCCACGGCCAUUCUUUGAGUGUUGGACCCAGGCAGGGAGGGAAGGCUUGGACGUGAGCAAUGUCAGAUAACAGUGGCAGAAUAGAGUGAAAGACAGCAGAACAGGACAGCAGAAAAGGGAUGGCCUGUGGGCACUGAAUGGUCUGGGUGCAGGGGGCAGGUGCCUGCAGGGGCUGCAAAGGGAAGUCCUCUGAGAACCGGCCCAAUGUCCAGGAGGAUGCAGGCUGGAUGGGGAAGGGGGACUGCAUGCGAACGGUCCACGAGGAGCCCCCGGAUUGGAGGCCAGAACAGAAGAAAACAUCAGGGAGUCUGGGAGGGUUAUCAGGGCCAGAAUUUUGAGGCCCUCGCAAGCCAGGCAGAGGGACAGUGCUGGGAAAACGGCGGUGAGAAAUGCAGAAAGCCGCGCAGCUGAUGAGAGGUGUUUAGGGGGAAAUGGGUCUGGGGGCGGCCCUUCGGGAGGCUGAGGCAAAGAACCCAGUUAGUAAACUCCUCCGAAAUCACAGCCGGGCAGGAGGCACAUGGUACUAGAGUCUCACGUCGUGUCCCCCCCCACCCCAGUCAGCACGACUGACAUCAGCAGCUCACUGGAGCACACUUGCCCCUGACUCCAGGUGCAACUCCAGAGGGUUUUUUAGGCCACUCUGGGCUCCUGGCAGCCCCUACCGAUCCAUCCAGGGUGAUGGGUCAAAUCUCCCCGCCUUGCGGGUUCGAUCAGUCAGGCGAUGUUAUGGGGCACUGACACGCAUCCUCAAAUUCCAGUGGCUUAAAGCGGUGAAGGUUCAUCGCUCAUUCAGGCUACCUGUCCAUCACAGUUGACCAGAGAUGGCUGUCAGUGCCAGCACUGUCCAGACAGACUGACAGGGCAGCCCCUUCACAGGGCACUGCUGGCCACCAAGGCAGGGGAGAGAGAGAGAUACAUCUUUGGAAGGUCUCUCACUAGCGUUUCAUAUGAAAGCCUGAAAAGGCAUAUCCCUCUGUAUACCACUCAUUGGCCAGAACUGGUCACAGCAGGCAAGGCCGUGGAAUCUUAAUCUCCAAAAGGCAGAGAGUUAGAAAAAAUAAAAGAAAGGCCUGGAGUUCACAUUGUGGUUCAGCAGGUUAAAAACGCGACUGGUAUCCAUGAGGAUGCGGGUUUGAUCUCUGGCCUUGC
rnacentral:lncRNA from 1 species